CAGAGAGCCCCCGCUCCGCCCGGGCCGCCUCCGUACCUCAUCCUCGGACUCGUUGUGCGGCACGGAGAAGCAGUUGGUGACCUCCACCGAGUGCUUGUCCACGGUCCCUGCGGGAGGGACAGGAAGGACCCAGGUGCUGAGGAAAAAGGAAGAGACUAAGAAAAAAGAUGGAAGAACUUGUAAGCAAGAUUGCUUAUGCUGGAUUCUGGAUGAACAGCAAGAUCCAGUUUUCACUGCUGCUGGAAAUUUUAAAUAGCAAGAAAAUAAAUCAGUGAAGAAGGAAACACAAAGCUACAAGAUGAAGGUUUUUCUCAGCAUUUACCGUAAAUCCAAAGAUGGUUCUCUGAGACAUACACUCUGCUUUGUGAUCAAAUGACAUCUCUGGGGAAACUUCAGUAUUCUCCUUAUGCUACAGCUUUACAUAAAGUGACCUGAAGGCUGUGACAAGGAAAUACUGCACUCUGACACCACCAGCCAGGACUUCUGAUGCUAAGAGAAAUUAAUUCCUGAGAUACCUUCUCCUGUGAAAUCUUCUGCCAAACUUCAAGUACCCCCUGGCUGUCUUCCAAACCCCCUUCAAGGCCUUUCUUUGCUGCACUGCCUACAAAUCACUGUCACCUGGCAGUCUUGAGGCUGGAGGCCAUCUGUGACCAUGGUGACUUCUGAUUUAUGUGAGCACACCCUUCUUCAUUGUUAUUCAUGCCACCUUCUUUCAUACAUUUUUCCCUUAGUCACUCAAUUUCUUGUCUUGGGAAUAUGGAGUGCAAGGACUCUGGGGUGGGAGAUGCCUAAAAUAAUGAAUAUAAGGUGCAAAAUAGAUG